UACGGGGGGGGCGAGCGUUGUUCGGAAUUACUGGGCGUAAAGGGUGCGUAGGCGGUGCUCUAAGUCGGAUGUGAAAACUCUGGGCUCAACCCAGAGCCUGCAUCCGAAACUGGAGUGCUAGAGUUCUGGAGGGGGUAGCGGAAUUCCUGGUGUAGCGGUGAAAUGCGCAGAUAUCAGGAAGAACACCAAUGGCGAAGGCAGCUCUCUGGGACGGUACUGACGCUGAGACGCGAAAGCGUGGGGAGCGAACAGG
rnacentral:rRNA from 1 species